rnacentral:rRNA from 1 species
AUUGAACGCUGGCGGCAGGCCUAACACAUGCAAGUCGAACGAGUGGCGGACGGGUGAGUAAUGUCUGGGAAACUGACUGAUGGAGGGGGAUAACUACUGGAAACAGUAGCUAAUACCGCAUACCAUCGGAUGUGCCCAGAUGGGAUUAGCUAGUAGGUGGGGUAAAGGCUCACCUAGGCGACGAUCCCUAGCUGGUCUGAGAGGAUGACAAGCAACACUGGAAAUGAGGCACGGUCCAGAGUCCGACGGGAGGCAGCAGUGGGGAAUAUUGCACAAGGGGCGAAAUCAUGAUGCAGCCAUGCCGCGUGUAUGAAGAAGGCCUUCGGGUUGUAAAGUACUUGCAGCGGGGAGGCGUUACCCGCAGAAGAAGCACCGGCGAACUCCGUGCCAGCAGCCGCGGUAAUUC